rnacentral:rRNA from 1 species
GACGAACGCUGGCGGCGUGCUUAACACAUGCAAGUCGAACGAUGAACCCGGAGCUUGCUCCGGCGGAUUAGUGGCGAACGGGUGAGUAACACGUGAGUAACCUGCCCUUGACUCUGGGAUAACUGCUAGAAAUGGUAGCUAAUACCGGAUACGACCCUCGGUGGCAUCACCAGGGGGUGGAAAGAAUUUCGGUCAAGGAUGGAUUCGCGGGCUAUCAGCUAGUUGGGGAGGUAACGGCUCACCAAGGCGACGACGGGUAGCCGGCCUGAGAUGGGGACCGGCCAAACUGGGACUGAGACACGGCCCAGACUCCUACGGGAGGCAGAAGUGGGGAAUAUUGCACGAUGGGCGCAAGCCUGAUGCAGCAACGCCGCGUGAGGGAUGACGGCCUUCGGGUUGUAAACCUCUUUUAGUAGGGAAGAAGCGAAAGUGACGGUACCUGCAGAAAAAGCACCGGCUAACUACGUGCCAGCCGCCGCGGUAA